rnacentral:rRNA from 1 species
AUGAACGCUGGCGGCGUGCCUAAUCCAUGCACGUCGAGCGAACGGACGAGAAGCUUGCUUCUCUGAUGUUAGAGGCGGACGGGUGAGUAACACGUGGAUAACCUACCUAUAAGACUGGGAUAACUUCGGGAAACCGGAGCUAAUACCGGAUAAUAUUUUGAACCGCAUGGUUCAAAAGUGAAAGACGGUCUUGCUGUCACUUAUAGAUGGAUCCGCGCUGCAUUAGCUAGUUGGUAAGGUAACGGCUUACCAAGGCAACGAUGCAUAGCCGACCUGAGAGGGUGAUCAGCCACACUGGAACUGAGACACGGUCCAGACUCCUACGGGAGGCAGCAGUAGGGAAUCUUCCGCAAUGGGCGAAAGCCUGACGGAGCAACGCCGCGUGAGUGAUGAAGGUCUUCGGAUCGUAAAACUCUGUUAUUAGGGAAGAACAUAUGUGUAAGUAACUGUGCACAUCUUGACGGUACCUAAUCAGAAAGCCACGGCUAACUACGUG